GUAUUUUUAUUGAAGAAAUGUCACCCAUUUGACCCACUCAAAACAAAACAAAGAGCCCUGACACACAACUUUAAUUAGACACGAAAUAAAGAUUAAUUAUUUAAUUCACAGCACAUGAAAAAUAUUUCUCAAAAAAACAUGAAAUAAUACCAGUGUCACGACUUGUUCCAGGACUAAAAGUGUAAACAUACCACUCAUAUUCCUAUAUGUAUACUUGUAGCUCUUUAAGAGUGUGAUGAAGCCAUUGGCAAACAAAAAGUAGUAGCAGUAGAUAAAAACAGCAAAUCUCACUGCUGAUAGAGAAGGGGAGACGGUGAAUAUCUAAAUUUAAGACACAUGAGCUCCUUCUGCAAAGUUGGCUGGUGGACUUUGAUUUAGAGGAUGGCAGUACAGUUUCAUCCAGUAGUGUAUCGGUUUCACACUCUGAGACUUUACCUCAGAGGUUUAGGGAGAAGCCAUACCUCUUGUGUCAUUGUCAGGGUGCAAAUACUAUUCUGUUUUUUUGGGGGGGGUUUUACAAUAAAAACAAAAGAAAAUAACAGGAUCACGUUUUCACAAGAAAUUACAGUCGGGUGCACAGCAGCACACAAAGUGACCAAAAGUAAUUUGUACACAAGGUAUUUCUGAAAUCAACAUAUCCAUUUUAAACUAUUUACACAGUGCAAAUUAUAAAAACCUCAGUAAAGUGUCAAGUCUUGUGGUCUCCACUGAAGUUAUGCAUUCAUAGUUGGCCUUUUACAGCAAGGCCAACCUUAAGGCUGGAAGCAGCCUAAAGUAGUCAUCCAGGCAGCCAUAUUAUUAGAAGUUUAUUCUAUAUCUAUUUAUAGAUAAAUGUAAAACAACCUCAUUGGCAGAGAUGUUUUUAGCUGAAUGUUGUUCCUUAUUAGUCUCAAAAUUAAACACAGAAACAAAACCAAAUAAAAUUAAGCUUUCUUAUGCUGAAAAAAUGUCCUCAGCUGUCAAAAUAUGUGCAUCUACGCCACAUCCAGAUUUAAACCGUAAAAA